rnacentral:rRNA from 1 species
UGCCUCGGCGGAUCAGCCCGCUCCCGGUAAAACGGGACGGCCCGCCAGAGGACCCCUAAACUCUGUUUCUAUAUGUAACUUCUGAGUAAAACCAUAAAUAAAUCAAAACUUUCAACAACGGAUCUCUUGGUUCUGGCAUCGAUGAAGAACGCAGCAAAAUGCGAUAAGUAAUGUGAAUUGCAGAAUUCAGUGAAUCAUCGAAUCUUUGAACGCACAUUGCGCCCGCCAGUAUUCUGGCGGGCAUGCCUGUUCGAGCGUCAUUUCAACCCUCAAGCACAGCUUGGUGUUGGGACUCGCGUUAAUUCGCGUUCCUCAAAUUGAUUGGCGGUCACGUCGAGCUUCCAUAGCGUAGUAGUAAAACCCUCGUUACUGGUAAUCGUCGCGGCCACGCCGUUAAACCCCAACUUCUGAAUGUUGACCUCGGAUCAGGUAGGAAUACCCGCUGAACUUAAGCAUAUCA